ACAGAUAUCGUGAAGAGUGCUACGAAGAACAUGGAAGUAAACCGAUCUCUUUGAGAAGAGGAUGUCAAUUACUUUGGAUCGAUACCCAAGAGUGUGAUUGCUGCACCGUAUGCCGUGCAGAACAGCUCUGAUUUCUCCACCGUCACCAACACUUGUUGCUGGUUUUCUUGAUAACAGCCAUUCUAACAGGUGUAAGGGGCAAUACAGAGGCUUCUGAACAAGAUUUAUGAUAAAAGGACCAAGAAGCAGCUUAUCAUGCUCAACAUGUAUGUCUC